UAGGUGACCUGCGGAAGGAUCAUUA
rnacentral:ncRNA from 56 species